CAAGUCGAGGGGCAGCACAGGUAGCAAUACUGGGUGGCGACCGGCAAACGGGUGCGGAACACGUACGGAACCUUCCUUUAAGCGGGGGAUAGCCCAGGGAAACUUGGAUUAAUACCCCAUAAGAAUGCAGAGUGGCAUCACUCAGCAUUUAAAGCUACGGCACUUAAAGAUGGGCGUGCGGCUGAUUAGGUAGUUGGCGGGGUAACGGCCCACCAAGCCGACGAUCAGUAACUGGUGUGAGAGCACGACCAGUCACACGGGCACUGAGACACGGGCCCGACUCCUACGGGAGGCAGCAGUAAGGAAUAUUGGUCAAUGGACGCAAGUCUGAACCAGCCAUGCCGCGUGGAGGAUGAAGGCCCUCUGGGUUGUAAACUUCUUUUAUCUGGGAAGAAACCGGACUUUUCUAAGGCCGUUGACGGUACCAGAUGAAUAAGCACCGGCUAACUCCGUGCCAGCAGCCGCGGUAAUACGGAGGGUGCAAGCGUUAUCCGGAUUCACUGGGUUUAAAGGGUGCGUAGGUGGGCAGGUAAGUCAGUGGUGAAAUCUCCGGGCUUAACCCGGAAACUGCCGUUGAUACUAUCUGUCUUGAAUGUAGUGGAGGUGAGCGGAAUAUGUCAUGUAGCGGUGAAAUGCUUAGAUAUGACAUAGAACAUCGAUUGCGAAGGCAGCUCGCUACACUAUGAUUGACACUGAGGCACGAAAGCGUGGGGAUCAAACAGGAUUAGAUACCCUGGUAGUCCACGCCCUAAACGAUGGAUACUCGACAUCAGCGAUAAACUGUUAGUGUCUGAGCGAAAGCAUUAAGUAUCCCACCUGGGAAGUACGACCGCAAGGUUGAAACUCAA
rnacentral:rRNA from 1 species